UUGUUGGUAAGGUAAAAGCUUACCAAGGCUUCGAUCAGUAGCUGGUCUGAGAGGACGACCAGCCACACUGGGACUGAGACACGGCCCAGACUCCUACGGGAGGCAGCAGUGGGGAAUUUUGGACAAUGGGGGCAACCCUGAUCCAGCCAUGCCGCGUGAGUGAAGAAGGCCUUCGGGUUGUAAAGCUCUUUCAGCCGGAACGAAACGGUUACGGUUAACACCCGUGACUACUGACGGUACCGGAAGAAGAAGCACCGGCUAACUACGUGCCAGCAGCCGCGGUAAUACGUAGGGUGCGAGCGUUAAUCGGAAUUACUGGGCGUAGAGCGUGCGCAGGUGGUUUUGUAAGUCAGAUGUGAAAGCCCCGGGCUCAACCUGGGAACUGCGUUUGAAACUACAAGACUAGAGUGUGGCAGAGGGGGGUGGAAUUCCGCGUGUAGCAGUGAAAUGCGUAGAGAUGUGGAGGAACACCGAUGGCGAAGGCAGCCCCCUGGGUCAACACUGACGCUCAGGCACGAAAGCAUGGGGAGCAAACAGGAUUAGAUACCCUGGUAGUCCAUGCCCUAAACGAUGUCAACUAGUUGUCGGGCCUUUACGGGCUUGGUAACGUAGCUAACGCGUGAAGUUGACCGCCUGGGGAGUACGAUCGCAAGAUUAAAACUCAAAUGAAUUGACGGGGACCCGCACAAGCGGUGGAUUAUGUGGAUUAAUUCGAUGCAACGCGAAAAACCUUACCUACCCUUGACAUGUAUCGAAGCCCGCAGAAAAGCGGGGGUGCCCGAAAGGGAACGAUAGCACAGGUGCUGCAUGGCUGUCGUCAGCUCGUGUCGUGAGAUGUUGGGUUAAGUCCCGCAACGAGCGCAACCCUUGUCAUUAAUUGCCAUCAUUUAGUUGGGCACUUUAAUGAGACUGCCGG
rnacentral:rRNA from 1 species